UACAGAGGGGGGCAAGCGUUGUUCGGAAUUACUGGGCGUAAAGGGCGCGUAGGCGGCCUGCUAAGUCGAACGUGAAAAUCCCUGGGCUCAACCCCAGGAACUGCGUCCGAUACUGGUUGGCUUGAAUCCGGGAGAGGGAUGUGGAAUUCCAGGUGUAGCGGUGAAAUGCGUAGAUAUCUGGAGGAACACCGGUGGCGAAGGCGGCAUCCUGGACCGGCAUUGACGCUGAGGCGCGAAAGCCAGGGGAGCAAACGGG
rnacentral:rRNA from 1 species